CCCUAUCAAACUUGGGUCUGUUAACAAACAGUUUCACCCCACCAAGGAAGAUAUUGUUAUCAAGUUGCCUCUCUAGCCUCUGCACAUCCAUCACUUCUUUGAACCUAACGAAGCCAAAACGAUGGCCUAGCUUGUUUUUGGUUCUGGGAAUGAAGACUUUCCACACCUUACCCCAAUUUGAAAAAUCCGCCACAUGUCUUUCUCCAUCAUUCCUU
rnacentral:misc_RNA from 1 species